CGGGGUGCAGCAGGCGCGAAAACUCUACAAUGCAGGCAACUGCGAUAGGGGAACAUCGAGUGAUCCUCAUAUUGGGGGUCUGUCCCACCGUCUAAAAAACGGUGGUUAGCAAGGGCCGGGCAAGACCGGUGCCAGCCGCCGCGGUAAUACCGGCGGCUCGAGUGGUGGCCGAUAUUAUUGAGUCUAAAGGGUCCGUAGCCGGCUUUGCAAGUCUCUCGGGAAAUCCAGCGGCUUAACCGUUGGUCGUCCGGGGGGUACUACAUUGCUUGGGACUGGGAGAGGUAGGAGGUACUCAGGGGGUAGGAGUGAAAUCCUGUAAUCCUCUGGGGACCACCGGUGGCGAAGGCGUCCUACCAGAACAGGUCCGACGGUGAGGGACGAAAGCUAGGGGCACGAACCGGAUUAGAUACCCGGGUAGUCCUAGCCGUAAACGAUGCUCGCUAGGUGUCACAACAGUCGUGAACUGUUGUGGUGCCGUAGGGAAGCCGUGAAGCGAGCCACUUGGGAAGUACGACCGCAAGGUUGAAACUUAAAGGAAUUGGCGGGGGAGCAC
rnacentral:rRNA from 1 species